AUAUAAUAUGUGUCUGUGUAUGCUGCUGGUGCACAGCUCUGUUUGGGGGUGAAGGCAGUGAGCAGAAAACACCCAAAUUCUGGUAGAUUUCAUUUAUCAGCUGACAACAGCUGUAGAUUUGUACAUGAGUGCUAUAUCUGAGAUCUGCUCGUAGGACCAAAGGGUAAAACUAGAUAGUUGAUGAUUAAAGUAUAUAUACUGUAACGUCUUUCCUUCUUGCAGUGUCUCAGUUUGAUCCUACCAGCAGAACUCACUGCUCACUGCCUUUGCUUUGCCUCUCUGGUUGAGCUGAUUCACCGGGCAAGGACAGAUCUGGAAACGACCGCAUACACAGAGGCUUAUAUACUCCCGUAUAGCGCCUUAUUCAAUAUACUUCACCUAUAAGAUGAUAACAUACCCCUAUUGUAUAACCCUCCUUACUAUAUACAGUAUAUGAUACCUGAUACCUAUUAUAAUACUUAGACACCCUUAUAAGGUAAUCUGAAUAAGAGAUGAUGGGCUGUCUUUUUUUCCCGUGGCUGUUGAAAAGUGUGCUGUGGUCAGAAAUGUGUUCGCAUCUUGUUUUUGAGAGUUAAAUGGGACAGGCUGUAAAGGAGAGUGGCGCUCACCCAAUGAAAAUAUAAUUUGAUUUUUUUCUUUAAAUCCCAUUUGGCCAUUAGACUAAAAUUUGUCGAUCUGGAUUUAGAUUUUUGCUGUUUAAAUAAGAGAGCAGAUCAUUUGAGGUGAGGCUCCUCUCCCUAGUGUUUGUGAGAGAGGUUGGGGAAACAAAGGGGAAACAAAGAAGCAAAUGUCUGGGCUGCUUGUUGUGUGCGUGCCAUUUAAAUGCCGAUGAAUCAUGACACAACCUUAUCGAGCGUGCGACGGAUUCUGGUGCCAAAGCGUCUGAUAAAACAGCCAGAUUUGCUCGCGCAGAUGUGGAAGAGAUUACUUUACUCUAUCCCCCCUCUUAAAGUAAAGGGGGUCCAUAAUGAAUUUUGUUGCUUACACAGGCAUGCUUCUCCUGAAUGUCACUUGACUUCAAAGUUGUGUGUUCUGAUAAAGUGUCCUGAUCCAAUCACUUCACUUUAUUGCAUCUUGCAGCAGUGAAAUGACGUUACACGCUCCCCAGUUUCUGCUCCAAAAAGAAAUAUUCAAGUGACCUACCAUCCCCCAUUGCCUCUUGACACUCCGGCUCCCCCACCCUCCGAAGAAGUUUGUGUCAUGUGUUUGGCAGCACCAACACACACCUACACAGCUACAAAAGACUGAACGAAUCAGUUUUCAAAAAGGUUAGAAAAUUUUUUUUCUUUUUUUUUUUUUUUUAUUGUUUUCGGCAACUUCGAAUGAGGAAACCAGGGAUGUAAGAAGUGGAAAAAACAAGGCCUCUGUAUGUUUGUUUUGUACGUGGUUUUUUUGUUUGUUUGUUUUUGUUUUUUUACAUUUUGUUGUUAUAUUUUUGGGUUUUUUCCUCUUGACUUUGUUUUUUCUUUUCUCCUCCCUGGUUGGAAGUUAAUGAUCACACAUGUGGACC
ensembl:lncRNA